GCUCUCUAGGAUCUGCCCAACCCCUUUGCUGUGGUUCCUUAAGAGCUGUUACCUUAGACUUGUGAUAUGGGACCUCUGAAUCACUUAGCAGAUCAUCAUUUCUCACUUCUUCCCCAUCUCAAAACAUUUUCCCAGAAAAAAAAAAUCAAAGUACAUAUAGUUGCCUAAACAUGGCACAUCCUCUUAUGUAUUAUGCUAUUGUACAUGCAGCUACAUUUGCCCAGAUGAUGCUCUUAUCUACAUGCCUUCAAGGACACAGGUGUGCCUCCAGCUC